ACUGGAUUUUCCAAGAAGGCAAGAUCAGCCAGAUGAGAGGAGUGAAAAAAUGAUACCAAAAAGACCCUUCUGGACAUCUCUCUAGGGCUACCUGGUUUUUCAGAACUGGUUGCUUAAAUUCCAAGUGGGCAUGGGAGACACAUUUUCCUUCUGCCAGUUUCCUAAAGUUUCCUUAUUGUAUCACAAUAUAUAUCAUACACUUUUAAGAGGCAAAGCUCAGAGACUUACUCUUUUGCUUGGAGGAAAAGAAAUACCCUUUUGCUUGGAGAAGGUACUGCUUGCUAAAUGUUUAAGCCUAAGUGUUUCCCUCCAUAGGAUUUUGAAAAUAGUAUCUAACUUGUUUAUUUGACAUCAAGGAAUGAGAUGGUGAUGGAAGAGAUGAGAGAGAAUCUAUUUCUAUUACAAAUUUAAAAAUGUUUAAAAAAUAUUUAGAUGUGAAAUCUCCUUAGUUGCCAAAUUCCUGGUUCAGUUUUCUCCUUAUUUUCACUAAAAUUAGAGGUUUUUCUAAAGAUAAAAAACAGUACUUCUUAACAUACAGUCCUAGAUUUUUGCCUUAUUGGUCAAUGUUUUAGGGUUAAUACAGGAUGUAUUUUGGCCAUAGGUGUCUGAGAAGAAAAAAAAAAAAUCAAUAAUUUUACUUUCAAGGAAAAAAAAUCUGUUUUUUUAAGGAUGAGGAAGGAUGGAAAUGAGGACUAAUUCCCUAGAAAAAUCUGACAAGAAGACUGCCCGUGGAAUAUGAAUACUUGCUUCCUAAGCAGAGGCAGGCUACUGAGCAUUUUAGAUCCUCUGAUUACACAAUCUGUUAUAAUGUAAGUAGAUAUCAAUUUUAAGCUCAAAAUGGAUUUUCCUAGUGGGCCAUGUGUAAAAGCUCUUUCCAAAUGAAAAAUAAAAAUCUGAUUGUGGUUAACUGUGAACUGUUUUAGCUGAAUAGAACUAUGAAAGAGAUUGAUUCAGGUAGAGACGUUAACUGGUUUUCCUUUUUUUUUUUUUUGUCAUCAAAAGCAAAAGAAAGUAUAUGAAAGAUAGUUACUUGAUUAAUCCAGGGGGAGGUCUCAGUUAUGCUGGUGAUUGUACUGGCAUUAAAAUGAGAAUUAAAACACUUUUUCAUAUUAAAAUUAUGGUUUUAUUUUAAUGGAAAAUAACCCUGUACUCACUGAAUUUGGUUGUUUGUAGGCAAGAUUUUAAUUAGCACUAUUGUAAGAGAGUCAGAUUCCUGGAGGGGACCUGGCAAAGAGCUCUGGGGCCUUCAAUACAUUUAUUCAUUUACUUAACAGAUUCAUUCACGCCGUAUCAUAAGAUUUAUUGGAAUCAUGCGGAUUAUUUGGAACUAGCAUUAUUGCUAAUUUCCAAAGAGAGGAGUAAAAGACUUUGACCUAAAUUCCUGGAACAUUUGUGUGGCUGCUAUUUUGAAUUCCAGAGAUACUUUUGCAAAAGCUUCAUGCGGUAUGCAGUUCUUACAGCAAUCACACUACUGAGCAGAAGGAGCAACCAGGACAAGGUGAGGACAGCACAGCUCCGAGGCUUUAGGGGUUCCACAAGGCCACUGCAUGAAAACUGACAGAACUAAGAUCUGCUUCAGGAUUGCCCGACAUCAUAGGUAUUUCACAUUUGUGCAUUAAGAAAAUUUAAAAAAAACAAAUCAUGAGAAAGAACAAAACUGGAAGUAUCACAGUUCCAGAUUUCAAGCUAUA